CCUACGGGAGGCUGCAGUAGGGAAUAUUGCUCAAUGGGGGAAACCCUGAAGCAGCAACGCCGCGUGGAGGAUGAAGGUUUUCGGAUUGUAAAUUCCUUUUGUUAGAGAAGAUAAUGACGGUAUCUAACGAAUAAGCACCGGCUAACUCCGUGCCAGCAGCCGCGGUAAUACGGAGGGUGCAAGCGUUACUCGGAUUCACUGGGCGUAAAGAGCGCGUAGGCGGGAGAGCAAGUCAGAUGUGAAAUCCUAGGGCUUAACCAUAGAACUGCAUUUGAAACUGUUAUUCUAGAGUAUGGGAGAGGUAGGUGGAAUUCUUGGUGUAGGGGUAAAAUCCGUAGAGAUCAAGAGGAAUACUCAUUGCGAAGGCGACCUGCUAGAACAUAACUGACGCUGAUGCGCGAAAGCGUGGGGAGCAAACAGGAUUAGAUACCCUUGUAGUC
rnacentral:rRNA from 1 species